ensembl:lncRNA
AAAUAAGUGUUAUCAUGGACACACCUGCACCAACACUUUGUGUUUUCCCUACGAGGAGCAUCUGGAUGGACGAAGUGAACUCUGAUUCAAUUAACUCGUCCUGUAACAAGGGCCACAGUGAGAGGAGUCGGACACGGAGGACUACUCGGCUCUAGCCUUCCUUCGCGCCCUUAUAUUGAAAGGAGAAGCUCUGGGUAAACAAAUAUAUGAGUGAAUGCACCCUGAACAGGCAGAGCAAAGAACACAAACGGCCGACACAGCAACACUGACUCAACCAAUGGCAUGCGUUUGGGGCGGGACUAACCAUUAUCAGACCAAUGGCAGACCUGGAAGAGUGUUGGGAAACCUGUUUGAAAAUAAUCAUCUACUCUGCAAAAAAGAUACACUACCGUACAAAAGUUUGGGCUUGAGAGGCAGCAGCGAGAGACGGAGAGAUGGAGAGAGCGAGAGAGGCAUCAGAUGCCCAGUGAGAGCCUGGUACUUUAGGGAAGCCAGUUCUCCCUGCACAGCUCUGCUGCACUUCUAGCCUUCCCAGAAAGAGAGAGAGAGAGAAGAAACAUCGCUUCAGGUUAUUCAUGGAUUGACUCUUCAAAUCCCAACAUAUGCUCCUCUGUUUCCCUUCCCAAGCACCGGGAGAAAUGGACCAUUUCCUCUCUGCAGCCUCCUCUCUACCACCCUGUCCGCUGCUCGCGAUGUAAAUCAGAGAGAUGCGAGCCAAUGCAACCCAAGCGCAUGUGGGGUGUGUGUGGGCUGCCUGAGUGAAGUUAAAGACCCCAUCCAGCAGCCUGUCAGUCCAUCGUGUGUGUGUGUGCAUGUGUGUGCAUGAUAUUCUUUAAAUAACAGUUUCAACUAGAUCUGCUUCUCUUGAAAGAAACAUCGUUUGUGUAAGUUUAGUCUAUAGGUUUUGAUUCUGCAUAAAUGAUAUUUUGAUAAGUGCACAAAUGACUUCUGCAUUCAUAAUGCAGCAUAAAAUAGUACAGUACAUUGUCAUAUUUGUAAUCU